AGAGCUUAUAUACUUGAAGAUUCAUAUAAUCAGCUGCGCAUGAGGACAACUCAAGAAUUGAAAGGGAGAUUGACUGUACAUUUCCAAGGGGAAGAAGGAAUUGAUGCUGGUGGACUUACUAGGGAAUGGUAUCAGUUAUUGUCCAGAGUAAUUUUUGACAAGGGAGCGCUAUUGUUUACUACAGUUGGCAAUGAAGCAACAUUUCAGCCAAAUCCCAACUCUGUGUACCAAACUGAGCACCUCUCAUACUUCAAAUUUGUUGGGCGAGUUGUUGGGAAGGCACUAUUUGACGGCCAACUUCUUGAUGUUCAUUUUACACGGUCCUUCUACAAGCACAUACUUGGUGCUAAAGUGACAUAUCAUGAUAUCGAAGCUAUUGAUCCUGACUACUUCAAAAAUUUGAAAUGGCUGCUUGAGAAUGACAUCAGUGAUAUUUUAGACCUUACAUUCAGUAUUGAUGCUGAUGAAGAGAAGUUGAUACUUUAUGAACGCAAUGAGGUGACUGAUUAUGAACUAAUCCCAGGUGGACGAAAUAUCAGAGUCACGGAGGAAAAUAAGCAACAGUAUGUCGACUUGGUUGCUGAGCAUCGGUUGACGACUGCUAUCCGUCCUCAGAUAAAUGCAUUUUUGGAAGGAUUCAGUGAAUUGAUUCCGCGAGAGCUGAUCUCUAUUUUUCAUGACAAGGAACUUGAGUUGUUAAUUAGCGGUCUUCCAGACAUCGAUCUUGAUGACUUAAGGGCAAAUACAGAAUAUUCUGGAUACAGCCCAGGUUCACCUGUUAUUCAGUGGUUUUGGGAAGUUGUUCAAGCUUUUAGCAAGGAAGACAAAGCUCGCCUUCUUCAAUUUGUCACUGGAACCUCAAAGGUGCCAUUGGAAGGGUUUAGUGCACUGCAAGGAAUUUCAGGUUCCCAGAAAUUUCAGAUCCACAAAGCUUAUGGCAGUGCUGAUCACCUGCCUUCAGCACAUACAUGUUUCAACCAGUUGGAUCUACCAGAGUAUCCCUCCAAAGAGCAUCUAGAGGAGAGACUACUGCUUGCCAUUCAUGAAGCUAACGAAGGAUUUGGAUUUGGUUAAAACAACAAUGGGUGGUCUGAAUUAGAUUCUGUAGAUAAUUUCCAUGUUAAAAAAGAGAGUUUUUUUUUUAUAUAUACAGGAGAACAGUCUAAGGGCAUUUUAAGUCUGUGAGAUACCUGUCUAUAAUGCUGUACAGUCUAUUUGCUAUGCGAAAUGAUCCUGGCAGUUCUUUU
rnacentral:misc_RNA from 1 species